rnacentral:rRNA from 1 species
GAUGAACGCUGGCGGCGUGCCUAAUACAUGCAAGUCGAGCGAACAGACGAGGAGCUUGCUCCUCUGACGUUAGCGGCGGACGGGUGAGUAACACGUGGAUAACCUACCUAUAAGACUGGGAUAACUUCGGGAAACCGGAGCUAAUACCGGAUAAUAUAUUGAACCGCAUGGUUCAAUAGUGAAAGACGGUUUUGCUGUCACUUAUAGAUGGAUCCGCGCCGCAUUAGCUAGUUGGUAAGGUAACGGCUUACCAAGGCAACGAUGCGUAGCCGACCUGAGAGGGUGAUCGGACACACUGGAACUGAGACACGGUCCAGACUCCGACGGGAGGCAGCAGUAGGGAAUCUUACGCAAUGGGCGAAAGCCUGACGGAGCAACGCCGCGUGAGUGAUGAAGGUCUUCGGAUCGUAAAACUCUGUUAUUAGGGAAGAACAAAUGUGUAAGUAACUAUGCACGUCUUGACGGUACCUAAUCAGAAAGCCACGGCUAACUACGUG